AAAUCCCAGGGGUGGCGAGUAGGGAGACUGCCUAUUGACCGUCGUGAUGAGAAAACAAAUGAGACUGACUUUGAGAACCGGCCAAUCAGUUGUAGUUUGUAUGAACUGUGUUUAGUCAACUGGAACGUUGAAACUUACUACUUAGGCCCACUCCUGUCUGUCAUAGGACAAAAUGGACAUGAGCCACACGCCGUCAGCGGGAUUCCAGCUUUCCAACGAUUUCGAGGCAAAUGUCCACCUUCUCUUUGCCAUCCUCGACAAGCACCUCGGCCUUUUCUACGGCAAACGUUCCGGGCCAUGAAACUGAUCGAGGACAACUGGCUGACCAUGCUGGAUGGCAUCACAAAGGGCAGGAUCACCCCAGAUUUCGCGAUGUCAGACGAGAUUUGGAGCGAUUUGAAUGCCGCCCUUACGCCAAAUCCAAUCCGAGCUGAUGAACUCCGCGAAGAAUUUUCCAUGGGUUUCGUCGGGAUUGUUUCGAGAAUAUAGCCUUAUAUGAAGUACAUACUACUCCAUUGACAUGGCCGGUUUCCGGGAGAAAUUGGAACAGACUUACACAAAAGGAACACCAAUUUUGUCGGGUUUAUAUGGAUUUACCAAGACGUUGGCAGCAACGAAUCUGUGGCCCCGAGAGACUAAAUACUGCUUGUUACCCAACAAAGUGUCUUCGAGUGUGUUCCUGAGGACAACUGGUGAGAAAUUGUAUUGGCUCUGGAGAAGGCCUCAGAAUGUACGCUGUCACAAGAUGUGACUUUCAACUGCUGUUGAUAAGAGAGGUUGUACAGGACAAGUCCGCUUUGGCAGUCAUUCAAUUACUUUAUGUAUAAGGUAUAUUAUGUGCCACACUAAUAAGCAAGGUCUUCAGAGGUCGAUAAUGCCUUUUAAAGUGAGUGUAUUUUCCUGUCACUCAUCAUAUCUGCUGCAAAUUCCUGCAGGGACUAAUAUAACUGUACCCUUUCAAAACUGCUAUUUUCUGACAAGAAAAAUUCAAUAAAACUAUAAAUAAAUACAAAUUAAACUAAAAACUAUGGUAACCCCAGUAGUCCAGAAUUCAAACAACUUCUUUCUCCUUAAUGCACACAAGCCAAUUCGACCGAACUCCUUUACCCCUAUUUUGUGCCACCGAUGUAAGGGGGCUUCUCAUGACGAGCUUCUAAUAGUAGCUCUUUGCGUGAAAAGUAAACAUUUCAUUCAUUAAUGAUAGUGGGCAAGUCAGAUUCGGUGGAUAUUCAUACAGUUGUUGUCUUCUGAAAGAUGAAUCUUUAGAUUCGAAGACAAACAGAAAUGAAUUUUUUCUCAGUGGUAGCAUAAUCUUACCUGCCCUCUGACUAUUGUAUCGAGUCCUUUUCGAUGGUUCCAUUCGUUGUGUGAUUAUGUCAUAACUGUACCGUAACAGCUAGGAGGUAAAUCCCAAAGCUUUGCUGAUCGACGAAGUGUGGUGGGCCGGACCUACAAAAUCGUGUUCACGACUCCAGGAGGCUUUUACCGCUAACGAAAUGGUGAUGUAGUGGAGAUUCUGGACACGCAUGAGAAAUGCCCUUUUAUUCAGUUUAAAUACAGGUGAGGGAAGAUGCAAAAUCUUGUUCUAGUUACUUGGCUUCGGCAGGAGAAAAUGCCCAUUUAACCGCAAGCUGUACAUUGUGUCCCCCCCAAAAAAAAACCAAAAGUAACAUUUAAUUUUUGUCCAAAGUAAUUGUCAGAAAUUAUUGUUUUUGAUAUCGAAGAAAAGCCUGAUAUUUUUUAUCAUUCCAGAUAAGUGCUUUAUUUGUUCCGUCCAAUAGGAUUUAACACAGCAUCAAAAUGCUAUUUGUACGCACUUUAAUAUUUUUUAAAUAGAUAUCAUUACCUAUUAACUCAAUUGCAAUUCACUACUUUAUUAAUCCUUAAAGCCAAUCUAAUACAUUUGCGAUUCAACAAAAUUCAAACGUUAAGUUCAAAAAAAUGUAAUUAGUUAUAAGAAAGAACACUCGAGAUCUUCAGAAAGGCUCAAAGAGUUAGGAUACUGAAAUGAAAAAGCGUCAGUUGUAUUAUGUUAACAUUGCAAGAGCUGGAUUAUUUUGUCCGUUUAACAAUUUCGCCCCCUUCCCUCGUUCGAUUUGUUUGAUGUGCAUGUAAAUAUACUCCAUCCAAUUGUGAAGUUUGAACUCAAUCAGAAUUAAAGUUUUGUUGUUUCAGUCAUUCCAAUUUCAAGGCAAGGUGUGCCAGCCCGCGUACAUUGAGCAUCGAGGUGAAAUAUACAUAUUUGGCUGACCAGUAAAUUUUUGCAAAAUUUGUGUCAAAAUGAUCGCAAACAGUUACUCUAGAAACUCCUGAAGGCUCCACUGUGGAAAGUGGUUACGAACUGAGAUUAGCGCCUUGUUACAUUGUCUCGUUGGUAUACUGUACAAGUUCUCCCGAAGUUGUUUCCUAAAAUAUUAUUACACUCUGAAACUGCAUAACUGAUUAAGUAAUGAUUGCCUUCCAAAAUUAAUUUAUUAAUUAUUAUUAAUUUGAAGCCCAAAAGGAAUGAAGAACUUAGAAAGCGUUGUGAUAAUUUAGGAUUCAAAUUCAGCAAUUCCAUACACUUGCAAGAUAUUUAACUGUGUAAACUUCCAUUGCACAUAUCAAAAAAUAGUUGUGUUACGAUAUUUAAAAUAGACCCGCAACGCAACAUGAACAUCACGUGCACUUUUCAUUGAAAGUGAAACACAAUCAGCUUUCAUUUUAUGACAAAAGCAACCAUUUCUGCCGAUUUGUUUGCAAGAAAUCAAUAAAAUGAAAUAAAGGUUACUUUGGGGAUAUGUUGUAGAGGCUUUAGGCAUUUUUCAAAUACACUAGGGCUAUUUCCACUCCAACCAAGCAAUAAUAGACCUGUAGCAUCAAGACGUCACGCUUUGUCUACAUGUGCGUUUUCCUGACUGAUCCCCGUCCCUAUUAUAUAGGAACCAGUAGCUAGGGUUUAACGUGUGCGGUUUAGCCCUGUCAGUUUGGAUGCUGAAUAUUUAAGUUUUUGCAGGCGUAUAAAAAUAAAUUAACACAGUGUGAUCAACAGAGGUUUAGCAAAGAUAAGUAUUUUUGUUCUUUCGGGUCUCUGCUGAAACGUGUUUCAUGCUAAAGCACUGAUGCUAAAGCAUUGCUGUACGCCUGCAAAAACUUAAAAGAUAUUUUUGCCAAAAUUACAUUUCAAGAGCUACAGUCAUUUGCAAAAGUUUAAGACCACCUGCAAUUUUAUUGUAUUUCUGUCACUGAGCCUGCAUUACAUUAUCUCACUGAAUACUUACUUAACAUGUUUUUACAGCGGUGCAUAACAUCAGUGUAGUGCUCUGCCCAUUUGAAUUGAUUUUUUUUUACAAUGGCAGGUCUCGUAUGACAUUUUGUCUGUAAAGCAAAGUAAACAAGCCAGGCUAAGUAAUCAGAAAUAAAGGAGAACAUACUAAAUGUUAGGCCUAGACUGUUAGCAUUUCAAAUCAUGUAAAUGUAGUCAAAUAGCUGUUUAACCAAGACAGUAAGGCUACACGUUGAAAAUAAGCAUAAGUUGACAUAAUUAGUUGGUUUAAGUUUGGU